GAUGAACGCUGGCGGCGUGCCUAAUACAUGCAAGUCGAGCGAACGGACGAGAAGCAUGCUUCUCUGAUGUUAGCGGCGGACGGGUGAGUAACACGUGGAUAACCUACCUAUAAGACUGGGAUAACUUCGGGAAACCGGAGCUAAUACCGGAUAAUAUUUUGAACCGCAUGGUUCAAAAGUGAAAGACGGUCUUGCUGUCACUUAUAGAUGGAUCCGCGCUGCAUUAGCUAGUUGGUAAGGUAACGGCUUACCAAGGCAACGAUGCAUAGCCGACCUGAGAGGGUGAUCGGCCACACUGGAACUGAGACACGGUCCAGACUCCUACGGGAGGCAGCAGUAGGGAAUCUUCCGCAAUGGGCGAAAGCCUGACGGAGCAACGCCGCGUGAGUGAUGAAGGUCUUCGGAUCGUAAAACUCUGUUAUUAGGGAAGAACAUAUGUGUAAGUAACUGUGCACAUCUUGACGGUACCUAAUCAGAAAGCCACGGCUAACUACGU
rnacentral:rRNA from 1 species